AUGAGGCCUCACCUCCUGGUUACACUAGUGACCAUAUCCCCCGCGCAUCCCGCAAAGGCGGAGGUGUUGCAAACAUUCACAAUAGAACAUUUCAAUUUACAAAAAACAACAACUGCGUUUUCGUCUUUUGAGCUUCUAGUCAUAAAAUCGAUCCACCCUACUCAAUCACUUUUUAUAGCUACUGUUUACAGGCCUCCUGGGCCAUAUACAGCGUUCCUCACUGAGUUCCCUGAAUUCCUUUCAGACCUUGUAGUCAUGGCAGAUAAUAUUCAAAUUUUUGGUGACUUUAAUAUUCACAUGGAAAAGUCCACAGACCCACUCCAAAAGGCUUUUGGAGCCAUCAUCGAUUCAGUGGGUUUUGUCCAACAUGUCUCCGGACCUACUCACUGCCACAGUCAUACUCUGGACCUAGUUUUGUCCCGUGGAAUAAAUGUUGUGGAUCUUAAUAUUUUUCCUCAUAAUCCUGGACUAUUGGACCACCAUUUUAUUAUGUUUGCAAUCGCAAAAAAUUAUCUGCUCAGACCCCAAACAAGGAUCAUCAAAAGCCGUGCUAUAAAUUCUCGGACAACCCAAAGAUUCCUAGAUGCCCUUCCAGACUCCUUCCACCUACCCAAGGACGUCAGAGUACAAAAAUCAGUUAACCACCUAACUGAGGAACUCAAUUUAACCUUGCGCAAUACCCUAGAUGCAGUCGCACCCCUAAAAACAAAAAACAUUUGUCAUAAGAAACUAGCUCCCUGGUAUACAGAAAAUACCAGAGCUCUGAAGCAAGCUUCCAGAAAAUUGGAACGGAAAUGGCGCUACACCAAACUGGAAAUCUUCCGACUAGCUUGGAAAGACAGUACCGUGCAGUAUCGAAGAGCCCUCACUGCUGCUCGAUCACCCUAUUUUUCCAACUUAAUUGAGGGAAAUAAGAACAAUCCAACAUUUAUUUUUGAUACUGUCGCAAAGCUAACUAAAAAGCAGCAUUCCCCAAGAGAGGAUGGCUUUCACUUCAGCAGUAAUAAAUUCAUGAACUUCUUUGAGGAAAAGAUCAUGAUCAUUAGAAAGCAAAUUAUGGACUCCUCUUUAAAUCUGCGUAUUCCUCCAAAGCUCAGUUGUCCUGAGUCUGCACAACACUGCCAGGACCUAGGAUCAACGGAGACACUCAAGUUUUUUAAUACUAUAUCUAUCUUGACACAUUGA
rnacentral:lncRNA from 8 species